UACGUAGGGUGCGAGCGUUAAUCGGAAUUACUGGGCGUAAAGCGUGCGCAGGCGGUUUUGUAAGCCAGAUGUGAAAUCCCCGGGCUUAACCUGGGAAUGGCAUUUGGGACUGCAAGGCUCGAGUGCGGCAGAGGAGACUGGAAUUCCUGGUGUAGCAGUGAAAUGCGUAGAUAUCAGGAGGAACACCGGUGGCGAAGGCGGGUCUCUGGGCCGAAACUGACGCUGAGGAGCGAAAGCGUGGGGAGCAAACAGG
rnacentral:rRNA from 1 species